rnacentral:rRNA from 1 species
AGAGUUUGAUUCUGGCUCAGAACGAACGCUGGCGGCGUGGAUAAGACAUGCAAGUCGAACGGGAGAAUUGCUAGCUUGCUAAUAAUUCUCUAGUGGCGCACGGGUGAGUAACACGUGAGUAACCUGCCUCUUAGUGGGGGAUAGCCCUGGGAAACCGGGAUUAAUACCGCAUACGAUUGAAAGAUCAAAGCAGCAAUGCGCUAGGAGAUGGGCUCGCGGCCUAUUAGUUAGUUGGUGAGGUAACGGCUCACCAAGGCGAUGACGGGUAGCCGGUCUGAGAGGAUGUCCGGCCACACUGGAACUGAGACACGGUCCAGACACCUACGGGUGGCAGCAGUCGAGAAUCAUUCACAAUGGGGGCAACCCUGAUGGUGCGACGCCGCGUGGGGGAAUGAAGGUCUUCGGAUUGUAAACCCCUGUCAUGUGGGAGCAAAUUAAAAAGAUAGUACCACAAGAGGAAGAGACGGCUAACUCUGUGCCAGCAGCCGCGGUAAUACAGAGGUCUCAAGCGUUGUUCGGAAUCACUGGGCGUAAAGCGUGCGUAGGCUGUUUCGUAAGUCGUGUGUGAAAGGCAGGGGCUCAACCCCUGGAUUGCACAUGAUACUGCGAGACUAGAGUAAUGGAGGGGGAACCGGAAUUCUCGGUGUAGCAGUGAAAUGCGUAGAUAUCGAGAGGAACACUCGUGGCGAAGGCGGGUUCCUGGACAUUAACUGACGCUGAGGCACGAAGGCCAGGGGAGCGAAAGGGAUUAGAUACCCCUGUAGUCCUGGCAGUAAACGGUGCACGCUUGGUGUGCGGGGAAUCGACCCCCUGCGUGCCGGAGCUAACGCGUUAAGCGUGCCGCCUGGGGAGUACGGUCGCAAGAUUAAAACUCAAAGAAAUUGACGGGGACCCGCACAAGCGGUGGAGUAUGUGGCUUAAUUCGAUGCAACGCGAAGAACCUUACCUGGGCUUGACAUGUAAUGAACAACAUGUGAAAGCAUGCGACUCUUCGGAGGCGUUACACAGGUGCUGCAUGGCCGUCGUCAGCUCGUGUCGUGAGAUGUUUGGUUAAGUCCAGCAACGAGCGCAACCCCUGUUGCCAGUUACCAUCGAGUAAUGUCGGGGACUCUGGCGAGACUGCCCAGAUCAACUGGGAGGAAGGUGGGGACGACGUCAGGUCAGUAUGGCCCUUAUGCCCAGGGCUGCACACGUACUACAAUGCCCAGUACAGAGGGGGCCGAAGCCGCGAGGCGGAGGAAAUCCUGAAAACUGGGCCCAGUUCGGACUGUAGGCUGCAACCCGCCUACACGAAGCCGGAAUCGCUAGUAAUGGCGCAUCAGCUACGGCGCCGUGAAUACGUUCCCGGGUCUUGUACACACCGCCCGUCACAUCAUGGAAGCCGGUCGCACCCGAAGUAUCUGAAGCCAACCGCAAGGAGGCAGGGUCCUAAGGUGAGACUGGUAACUGGGAUGAAGUCGUAACAAGGUAGCCGUAGGAGAACCUGCGG